UUGCAACAGAAUCAGAGUAAUGCACCCCAGUUAACACCCUCGAACUGGUCUCAAACUUCGGCAGCAGCCAAGCUGCACAGUCGACAUGGCUACCGAUUUAAUAACGCAAUAUUUUCCUAAAGACAGAUAAAUCUUCCAAGUGUUUUGGAAUGACAUUAGUCACGUGAUAUGAUGCGCAUCCACGAUGUGUGACAACGUUUGAAGAACAAUUAAGUUCGGAAGAAAAAUCUUGAUUCCAGUGGAAUCUUCCAUAUUUUUUUCUUUGUAAAAAAAAAUUGUCCAGUGAUGCCUGUGCAAGCCCCACAAUGGACGGAGUUCCUGCUGUGUCCCAUCUGCACGCAGACGUUCGAGGAGACGGUGCGGCGGCCCAUCUCGCUGGGCUGUGGCCACACCGUCUGCAAGAUGUGCCUGAACAAGCUCCACCGCAAGGCCUGUCCCUUCGACCAGACAGCCAUCGCCACCGACAUCGAGCAGCUGCCGGUAAACACAGCCCUACUGCAGCUUGUGGGGGGACAGGUUCCCAAGGUUCAGCCGGUGGCCCUGAUCACCAGCCCAGAGGACUCGCAGCACUAUGAGGAGGCUAGGCAGUGUGUAGAGGAGCUGGCCCUCUACCUCAAACCCCUCAGCAACAACAGAGGGGUGGGUCUAAGCAGCACAGCCCAGAGCAUGCUGAGUCGGCCCAUGCAGAGGAAGCUGGUGACCCUGGUCCACUGUCAGCUGGUGGAGGAGGAGGGCCGUGUGCGGGCCAUGAGGGCAGCCAGGUCUCUGGGGGAGCGCACGGUCACAGAGCUCAUCCUACAACACCAGAACCCCCAGCAAUUGUCAUCCAAUUUGUGGGCCGCCGUCCGGGCCCGGGGAUGCCAGUUCUUGGGCCCAGCCAUGCAGGAGGAGGCUCUGAAGCUGGUGCUGCUGGCUCUGGAGGAUGGCUUGGCCCUGUCCAGGAAGGUUCUGGUGCUGUUUGUGGUCCAGAGGUUAGAGCCACGCUUCCCCCAGGCCUCCAAGACCAGCAUAGGCCACGUUGUGCAGCUCCUCUACAGGGCCUCCUGCUUCAAGGUGACCAAGCGCGACGAGGACUCGUCCCUGAUGCAGCUGAAAGAGGAGUUCAGGACGUAUGAGGCACUGCGGCGCGAACACGACUCCCAGAUUGUGCAGAUCGCCAUGGAGGGUGGUCUCCGCAUCGCUCCCGACCAGUGGUCCUCCCUGCUCUAUGGGGACCAGUCCCACAAGUCCCACAUGCAGUCCAUCAUCGACAAGUUGCAAACGCCAGCGUCGUUUGCCCAGAGCGUUCAGGAGCUGACCAUCGCCUUGCAGAGGACGGGAGACCCCGCUAACCUUAAUCAACUCCGACCACAUCUGGAACUACUGGCCAACAUCGACCCUAGCCCCGACGCCCCCCCUCCCACGUGGGAGCAGCUGGAGAAGGGUCUGGUGGCGGUGAAGACGGUGGUCCACGGCCUGGUGGACUUCAUCCAGAACCACAGCAAGAAGGGAGCCGACCCACAACAGCCUCCCCAGCACAGUAAAUACAAGACAUACAUGUGUCGGGACAUGAAGCAGAAGGGGGGCUGUCCCAGAGGAGCCAGCUGUACCUUCGCCCACUCUCAGGAGGAGCUGGAGAAGUACCGUAAGAUGAACAAGCGUUUGGCGGCUCGCCUCCCUGGCUCAUCCAGCCUGCUGUCGGAUGACUGUCUCCCUCUGGACAUGGGGGUGACCCGGAAAACCUCGCCCCUUACCAACGGCUCAGCUGGACACCCCAUGCCCCAGCUCAUCACCCGCGGCACGGACGCCGUGACCUACGACCUGUUGUGCAACCCCAAGAUGGACGGCGGGUGCAGCAGCUCCCCGGGAUCGCCCCCUGACUCUCUGGAUUCAGGGCCCAAACAAGGGUUCCUUCAGCCUCCCCUUGCCAUGGGCCACCCCAGGGGGUCAGGUGACCUCAUGCCCAAACAGAUGCCCGUAGGUGUGAUGCCCCGGGGGCCUCAGAUGUACCCCCAGCAGCUGCCUGACAUGUACUACUCCGACUCACGCCCACUGCCCUCCGCCUCCCAGUACGAGCCUUCGCAGUACCCCCAAGGAUACCCCUACCAGCAGCCCCCCCAGUACUCCACCCAGCGCUACAUCCGAAACCUCCCUACCCCCAGCGAGGCCGCUGGACCCCCCUACCAGGACCCCUAUCCCGGCUAUGGCCCUCCCGAGCGCCCUUACCCAGCUCCCCACUCCGGCACCCCCUACUCCUACCUUCCCCACUAUGACACCCGGGGCCGCCACGGCCCUUACCCUGGCCCCCAGCCAUACCCGACGCAGAGGGACGACAUGGUCCGGAUGAGCCCUGCUCCCCUGGACAUGCCCCCUAACCACCACUACCAACAGGAGCAGGUGGCCAGGGAGAGGUACCCCCAGAGGGGUACUACCCAACUGGGGCCCAGCCUCAAUCCAUAAGGUCCAACGUCAGGGAGCAGUACAGACGCUCCUCCCAGCCCAGCCUGGACUACCUGCACCAUCGCCGCAAGGAGCUGAUGGCCCAACUAGAAGAGCGGAAGGUCAUCUCCCCUCCACCCUUCGCUGCCUCCCCCACCCUUCCCCAUGCCUUUCCUAGUGACUACCCCCCAGAGUAUGGGGAGGAAAGCUCCAAAGCCUUUGGGAAGUGCAGGGAGCCGGACUACGCCGGCCAGUAUUCUCCCUGGUCCUGUGACACUAUCGGCUCCUAUAUUGUCACCAAGGACGCCAAGCCCAAAGACAUCAUGACGCCCGGCGCCAUGGAGAUGAUGAAUGUGGAUGGUAAAGGUCUACGGGGGGAGCCCUCCAUGGAGGCCCAGGCCAGGCAGGGGGCGGAGGUCAAAGACGACGACCCCAUCAUCCCCUUCGGCCCCCAGCCCACCGUGUCGCGCUUCGGGGCCAUCUCACGCACCUCCAAGACAGGCUACCAGACGACAGGCCCCGUGCAGGCCAUGGCCUCCGCCCAGGGACCCAAGCACAUGGCCGCGGAGUUCUCCUAUGGGCACCACGGAGGCUGGGGCGGCGCCUCCUACCCCUCCCACCAGACUGGCUCCUCCUCUCAGGGACACUUCAGUGAAAAGCUGUCUAUGCCAGCUCAGGACAGAGAGCAUCUGAAGAUUGAGCUCCAACAGGUCAACCAGCAGAUCACCCAACAGACCCAGACCCACGGCAUGGAGAGGGAGGUCAGUGCCCUGGCGGCCCAGCCCUCCCAACCAUGUCAGAACCAGGGCCAGCAGGGGAAGUGGCCCGGUCCAGUGGGGGUUUCCAGCAAUGCUGCCUUGGUGUCUAGCGAGCAGCUCAGCAUGGAGCUGCACCAGGUUGAGAGGGAGAUUGGCAAGAGGACCCGCCGGAUGGACAUGGACAGUCAGGUGGCUCAUGAAGUCCAGUACAAGAUGAAGGCUGCACAGAAUGGCCAGCAGGACCACAAGACCCAGCUGGAGGAGAUUGCUCUGGCCCUCGGUGAGGUAUCUAAUGGCUCCAGCGGUCUAGGUCAGGACGGUGGUGUGGGCGGAGCCAUGUUGUCACUGACCAAUAAAGCGUCUUCGCUCAGCCUGUGUUCUGAGCCGGGGCCCGGGGUCUCAGAGCUGCAGAAGAAUGGUAUGGUCCAUUCCUGCUCCUAGACCACACACACACACACACACCUACUCAGACACUGUGGUGUAAAACAUACAGACAGAAGAUGAGCAGUAUCUGCUGUGAUAGGAGUUUUUCUUUCUUUUUUUGUUCUGUGAAUGAGCUUUUUUUUUUUUUUAACUUUCAUUGCCUGGAAACCAGGGCAACGUUUAUUUUUAUUUUUUCUCUAACUGGGACAAUAAAACAAGCCUCUCAAAGUAACGGAAAAGCAGAUGAUGAUGAUGAUGAUAAUUGUUCAGAGGGCUAUCCCCCUACAUAGACAUCACAUAUCAAACCCAUUGUAGAUCGAUCGGUGGAGUAUUUCUCAAUUCUCCACCUCUGUAUCUUUGUUCCCAUUACGAGGCACAUUAAGGGUAAGCAGCUUGCAGGGACUUUAAGACCCCAAAUACUAAAUCAACUUACGCUCAUAUGUACUACAUAACGGUAUCAUAAGUCUUGGUGUUUACGACAGUUAUGUCAGCGGUCGUACGCAUCACAUAAGUAUCUGUUAUAAUCCAUUAUAGCCUGAUAUGACAGUUGUUGAUAGUUUCCGAUACCUUUGACAGCUUACGAAGGCAAUUAUAACCAACAUUUAGUCAGUGUAGUAACUCUUCCGUUCAGUAAUAUAAGUGUUGUAACCGCUAGGGUUCAGGAAUACACCACCCCCAGAAUCGUAAAACAUGGUCGACCAGAUGAGGGAGGCCAGGGAAAGGGAGAGUGAAAAUGUUAAGCCAACCUUCAGAACCAAACGAGACUAGGCCGCUUCAAGCCACAUGAGAUCUCAUGAGAAGUCUGAUUUUAUUAGUGCAUUUUAUGAAUACAUAUCUGUUUCAUACUUGAAAAGCAGUAUAUUAUUAACCAAAGCAUUCUGUUUUAAAGAUUGCAAAAUGAAUCUUUUUGAUAAUGAGCUUUCCUCAUGUUUUCUAUAAGGGAACCUACUUUGUGCUUCUCGUGGGAUGUGGUGUGACUUGCUGCUGGCUGUGGAAAUGUCUGUUGUACUGAUGGGCUGGAAUUUAAUCAUCAUCAUGUAAAAUGCACUCUCAAGGGAGUGUAAUAAGUGUUAACACAGUUCUAGAAAACAUGUAUUUUCACAUUGUAGGAACAUUUUCCUCGGUGCAAGAUGAAUUGAUUGAAUGAUGUGUGAAUGGAAUCAUAUGGGGUGAUAGUUCUUAUCUUCCUCAGAACUCCUCAUCUGGUAAUCAGAAGACCUCCCCAUUGGGAUUAUCUUGUCAUUGGUUCUCUUUAACUUCUAUGAAGUUACUUUUCCUUUUUUUCUUCUCUCUCGCUCACAUAAAUCGCAGUUAAGGGGCUGUAACCUACCUGAACGCUGGUCCGUUAUUGGAGGGGAAGUGAGAAAUGGAUUAAUAUGCAAAAAAUAAUUCUCAUCUUUCUCUUAAUACAUGUAGAAAGUGGCUGUAGUCUGCCAAACAAUAAUUUCAAUGGUUUGUGCGUCUCAAUCAUCAAUGAAAGAAAAGCAAAUUGUCUUUAAAAAAUAUAAUUUUGUCAUCUUACGAGCUUACUUAAAAAAAAUUCCUUCUAUUCCAUUUGUUUUUAACCACAUACUAUUACUUCAUUUUAGAACAAGUCAGGAUCGAGACACGUAUUAUUCAGUGUAUUAGUGGAUUCAAGACCAGAAUCUUGGGCCACAACCUGGCGACGUUUAAAGCAAGCAGCCAGAUAGCCUUGCCCCUUAAAAAGCCUCUGCCCAAAGUCUUCCUAACCUUCAACCUUGAAAACUUUUAGUGCAAACUUUCAUGAUAUUCUUCACAAUAUAGUUUUAUAGUAUUAUUAUCAUCAUUAUCAUUACGUUAUUUUUGCUUUCCCUGUCAUGGAAAUUGUUGGUGCCUGUUAAGGAGCGCUCUGCCUUUUGUAAACAAUCCUCAUGAUUGGCCAUCGAACACUCAAAUGGUUAAGGAUAGAGGUGACGAUCAGGGUUCAUAGUUUGGGGGGAGGUUCAGCAUUUUGUCUGGGUUUAAGGUGUGUGUGGGGGGGCAAUAGAAAUGAAGGUUGGGGAAAGGGUUUUUGUUUUUCUCCAACCACACUUCAAGCAUCAGGCUGCUCUUUAAUACAUUUUAUUGUUUAGGUUAACAACUCACUUCUACAUAUGAGUAUGUAUACAUACAUUAAUAUACUAAGCACUAUUAACGUGCCACCUCUUAUUCUACUCGCUCAGCAUUUAUAUUAAAUGAUCUCUACUUAGAAUCAGCUAAAUGUUAUUUUUUCCCUGUCCACUGGUUGCCAACACAGACUUUAUCCUUACCCAGUUGAAGGACUUCUGUGCGCAUUGAUGUGUAUUCACUUAAUCUUUUUGUGUUCAAACAAAUAAGUUCUAUAUUGAAAUAUGCUUCCAAAAGAAGACUCAUUUUAAUGAUGAAAAUUGUUGAAAAGUUUUUUGUUGUGUGUGCUAGGUUGUAUUGUAGAAACGGUACACUAUGGAUUUUUUUCAAAGUGAAGUGUGCUGUACUGGGUGACCGUGUGGAAAUAUUAGAAAUGUGAUGUUGUUGUUUUUUUAAGAGGUGAGCCGGGUAAGCCUUUAAUUUAAUCAAAGGCUUGCUUCUCAAGGAAUACUCCUCGGCCAUCCACGCCAACAGUAAGAUCAUUCGGAAGCACACUUAUCAAAUGAAAAGAGAUUUAAAUUGGCAUGCAUGUUUUUUCUCUUCACCUGUCAGUCACCUUUUGUCAUAUUUAUAACAAACCUUGUUUCUGCUGGGAAAAUGUCUUUGACUAGUUGGGUUUGUAGUUGUUUUUGUUCCUGUCGUUGUUGAGUGAAAAAUCACUGACUUCCAAGUCUUACAGUGAUCUAUGUAUCGCCUCACAAGGCAAAGCAUCAUGUUGUCCAGGGAAACUGUCAAACGCAGCAUCGCUCUCAUCCACACACAGUUUGUCUUUGCUUCAGAAUAGUCAUUAAAAUUAGCUUGCCCACAUUUGUUAUUUCUGCUUAAGGAAAUACUGUCAAGGUCCCUCCAGCCAAGACCUUUAAAGAGUGAGUUCACUCCAAAUUUUGUCCAAUGUUUUCAGAUCUCAACAGUGGUCUAAUGUUGACAUGAGGCUAGCCUCUUUUUGAAUUCAAGAGUGAAAUACUUAAACACUCGUCUCUAACAUGUAGGCUCAGCAUGCCCAAACAGUCCCAUUACAAGUCAGAAUAUUGAACAAACUCCAUUUCAACUUACUUUUCUUGUUGUCUGCUGGUUUUGUCCCUAUGUUGGACACAAUCUGAUGCAAAAUAUCCACAGGGAAGUGUUAUCAGCCCGACCUUCAGUACACAGGUCUGUAUAUCGGUUUGUAUUGCUGGUUUUAUUUUCCAAUACUGAUGCAAUUCGCACGUUACAGACACUUGCACAAUAUGGCCAAACCGAACAGACAUAGAAUGACAAACACUUCCAGCCGAUUGCACGUUCGGUCGAUUUUUUUUUUACAUAUUGUGUAUCACUUGCAAUGCGUCAAGAAAUUGAAAAUACAAGCGCCAGAAUGUACCAGCGCCGCAAAAAGUCAGGUAAACAACACUUUCCUGUGGAUACCGUAUCUCCACCACCUACCACCAAAAGGACCAAACAGGGAAGUAAGUGUAAAUAUCAUUUUCUUCAUUCUGGCUUUUGGACUAUUGCGUCUCUUUUAGGGGGACUUGGUCAAACUGAAAAUCCAUUGAGUAACCAUGGUAACAGUUUGACAUUUAGGCAAACAUGAGCUCACAUACCAUGCCAUCUGUUGUGUAGAUCCAGCCCUAAGCCUCACUCCCCAAAACCAAUGGCAAAGAUGGGCAUUCUAAUUCAGUGCCUAUUGUUUUCUACUCAUUGUGUUUAGGCAUAUAGCUGAAUAAACACUAGAUGGGGUGGGAUGUAAACUCAAAUCAACAUUAAACUACUUGGGGUCUAAAAUGUGCAACAAACUUUGAUUUGAGUGAGCUGUCCCUUUAAAUUCCAUAGCCGAGGAGAAGUAACAAGGAUGUGGUUUCUGGGAAGAGUAAUGAUCAUGUUCAUGUCAGUUGCCUGCUUUCAUUUGUUUCUGAGUUAAACUGCUGCCUACCCCUUCUUCACACAGCCAACUCUCCCCAGAAUCACAAUAGUGUUACUGCUGUUUUGGGCUCACAUUUUAAUUUCAUUUUUUUUUUCUUUGAAAAACACAAUGGCUUUUUUAUGAUUACUUCCUUGUAAUAUAUCUCUUAAAUUAAGGUACAGGUUUGAUUUCAGCAAGAAAAAAACGUUUUUAUAUGUAUAUUAUACUCCAUUAAGGAAUGUUUAGAAUUAUCUUCCUCCAAUGUGGAUGUAGACAUUAUUACGCCAUUUUAUGACUUUGUAAGAGAAUUCACUGUGUGAAAAUUGGUUUGCAUUUUUGUAUAAUACAAUCUGCUUUAUUAUUUUUGUUUGAUAUGAGAGUUAGGUCAAACUGGAAGUUUGAAGAGAGAAAUUAACCUGUGAAAUUGAGAAAUAAAAUAAAAAAUAACUUAUGUACAACAGUGAUUAUAUGCUGAGGGAGAAGGAUUAAAUGAUAUUGCUAACUCUG